rnacentral:rRNA from 1 species
CUACGGGAGGCAGCAGUGGGGAAUAUUGGACAAUGGGCGCAAGCCUGAUCCAGCCAUGCCGCGUGAGUGAUGAAGGCCUUAGGGUUGUAAAGCUCUUUCACCGAUGAAGAUAAUGACGGUAGUCGGAGAAGAAGCCCCGGCUAACUUCGUGCCAGCAGCCGCGGUAAU